AUGGCGGCCGCUGCCUCCUCCCUGCUUGCCGCCGCUGCAUCCUCCAGUUCCCGAGCAGCCAUCUCCGCCCGCCGCCCCCGCGCAGCUUCUGCCGCGGCCGCGGCCGCCGCCUCCAUCCCCUCCUCCUCUCGCUCAUCCUUCACUCCGCUCCGCGCCUCCCCCGCGACGGCUCACCGGAGCCGCGUCGUCGCCAGCGCCGCUCCCGCGAUGCAGCCGCCGGCGGUGUCCAGGGUCUCCACGGUGGUCGACGUCGACCUCGGCGACCGGAGCUACCCGAUCUACAUCGGGCCCGGACUCCUCGACGAGCCCGACCUGCUGCAGAGGCAUGUGAUCGGGAAGAGGGUUCUGGUGGUGACCAACACCACCGUCGCGCCGCUCUACUUGGAGAAGGUGACCUGGGCGCUCACGCACCAAAACCCUAACGUGUCGGUCGAGAGCGUGAUCCUGCCCGACGGCGAGAAGUACAAGGACAUGGACACACUGAUGAAGGUUUUCGACAAGGCGGUGGAGUCCCGGCUGGACCGGAGAUGCACAUUCGUUGCGCUAGGUGGCGGCGUCAUUGGGGACAUGUGCGGGUUUGCUGCUGCUGCAUUCCUCCGUGGUGUCAAUUUCAUACAGAUACCCACCACUCUGAUGGCCCAGGUGGAUUCGUCUGUUGGAGGGAAGACUGGGAUUAACCAUCCAUUGGGAAAGAACUUAAUUGGCGCAUUCUACCAGCCGCAGUGCGUACUCAUUGACACAGAGACAUUGAAUACAUUGCCUGACAGAGAGCUAGCUUCAGGUGUCGCUGAGGUGGUGAAGUAUGGGCUCAUAAGAGACGCACCCUUCUUUGAGUGGCAAGAGAAGAAUAUGGCAGCAAUAUUAGCGAGAGAACCAAGUGCCCUGACCUACGCUAUAAAGAGAUCAUGUGAAAACAAAGCUGAAGUUGUUGCUCAGGAUGAGAAGGAAAGUGGUCUUCGAGCAACACUAAACCUGGGUCAUACAUUUGGUCAUGCUAUAGAAACAGGGCUUGGCUAUGGAGAAUGGCUCCAUGGGGAAGCCGUUGCUGCUGGAACGGUUAUGGCAGCUGACAUGUCUUACCGCCUGGGCUGGAUAGACGAGUCCAUCAAGAAACGGACAUUUGACAUACUAGAUCAAGCCAAGCUUCCCGUGACACCACCAAAGGGCAUGACGGUGGAGAAGUUCAAAAACAUCAUGGCUGUCGACAAGAAGGUCGCGGACGGAUUGCUGAGGCUCAUCCUUCUGAAAGGACCUCUGGGAGGCUGCGUUUUCACCGGUGAGUACGACAGGAAAGCACUGGACGAAACCCUCCGUGCGUUCUGCGACAACUGA
rnacentral:rRNA from 1 species